AGAAACUUAGGAUUACAUAAACCAGUGACCUUCAACGUCACAAACAAGGGCGAACCACCCUUAGUUUCUG
rnacentral:tRNA from 1 species